rnacentral:lncRNA from 1 species
ACUAAAAUGAGGAACUCAGCGGACCGGGAGCGACGCAGCUUGAGGGAAGCAUCCCUAGCUGUUGGCGCAGAGGGGCGAGGCUGAAGCCGAGUGGCCCGAGGUGUCUGAGGGGCUGGGGCAAAGGUGAAAGAGUUUCAGAACAAGCUUCCUGGAACCCAUGACCCAUGAAGUCUUGUCGACAUUUAUACCGUCUGAGGGUAGCAGCUCGAAAGUAGAAGAAGUGGGUGAGGUUUUCUCUUCAGUCUGAUAGCUCUGGCCUAUUAGGUCAGCCAUUUGUUCAUGUUUUGUGUUACCACUUAGAGAUAGUUUUUCUCAUCCUCAAGUAUUGGGAGUCCAACUUUGAGUGGAAUCUGGACUAAACUUCAGAGUGUUGCCAGGGACGGCAGUAUCUCUUUGUGUGACCCUGGCGGCUUAUGGGACGUUGGCUUCAGACCUUUGUGAUACACCAUGCUGCGUGGGACGAUGACGGCGUGGAGAGGAAUGAGGCCUGAGGUCACACUGGCUUGCCUCCUCCUAGCCACAGCAGGCUGCUUUGCUGACUUGA